AACGCACCUUGCGCUCCUUGGUAUUCCGAGGAGCAUGCCUGUUUGAGUGUCAUUAAAUUCUCAACCACACCAUUUGUUUUACAACUGGUUGUGGCUUGGAUGUUGGGGGUACUUUUUGCGGGCCUCUGUUUUGAGGUCAGCUCCCCUGAAAUGCAUUAGCGGAACCGUUUGCGGUCUGUCGCCGGUGUGAUAAUUAUCUGCGCCCAAGACAGUCUGCUCUCUUUGUGUUCAGCCUCCAAUCGUCCACUUGUGGACAAUUUCUGAAUAUUUGACCUCAAAUCAGGUAGGACUACCCGCUGAACUUAA
rnacentral:misc_RNA from 1 species